UACGUAGGGGGGCAAGCGUUGUCCGGAAUCAUUGGGCGUAAAGAGCGUGUAGGCGGCCAGAAAAGUCCGCUGUGAAAACUCGAGGCUCAACUUCGAGCUGUCGGUGGAAACUUUCUGGCUAGAGUCCGGAAGAGGAGAAUGGAAUUCCUGGUGUAGCGGUGAAAUGCGCAGAUAUCAGGAAGAACACCCGUGGCGAAGGCGGUUCUCUGGGACGGUACUGACGCUGAGACGCGAAAGCGUGGGGAGCAAACAGGAUUGAGAUACCCGG
rnacentral:rRNA from 1 species